AAAGGUAUUCGUUUACUUUAUCAGCUCUAAAUCACAAGUACUCGAAAAGUUUAAAGAUUUUAAGCUACUAGUAGAGAAUCAAUUAAAUGCUAAAAUUAAAACACUAAGAUCUGACAAUGGAAAGGAGUAUGUCAAUGAAGCAUUUGAUAAGGUUUGUAGGGAUUCUGGUAUCAAACGUCAACUCACUAUACCCUAUACCCCCGAACAGAACGGCAUGAGUGAGAGGAUGAACCGAACUUUAACAGAACGUGCUAAAUGUAUGCUUAUUAAUUCUGGCCUACCUAAGAAGUUAUGGGCUGAGGCAGUAGCCACCGCUGCAUAUGUUAUCAAUCGCUCACCAACAAAGUCUUUACAAUAUAAAACUCCUGAGGAAUUAUGGUCCGGCAUUAAACCUAAUAUCAGUAACAUUAAAGUGUUUGGUUGCAGAGCUAUGAUGCAUGUGCCAAAGGAGAAGAGGUUAAAAUGGGACUGUAAGUCAAAAGAGCUUAUAUUUGUAGGUUAUUGUUUAGAGUCCAAGGGUUAUAGAUUGUUUGACAAAACUGAAGGAAAAGUAAUGAGAAGCAGAGAUGUAAUCUUCCUAGAAGAGAGUGUAAAUAAAGAUUUUGCUUUUCUACCACUUACUGAAUCGCAAGUAGUUAUAAAUGAAGAUAAUUUAGAUGAUACUACUGACAUGACUUUAAAGGAAAUUGAUAGUGCAGUCUGUGCAAGUGAUGAUGAUUAUGUCCCGGAGCAUUCUAUAUCCAGGAGUGAAUCACCUAUAAACAGAAUUAAUUUAAGGCCUAGAAAACACAGAGCUAUGCCUACCUUCCUCUGUCAGAAGGAAAUUAAGAAAUCUAUUGAGCCAGAUCCUGAAACAUUGGAGCAAGCCUUUAAGUUAAUUUUUUGAAGUAAUAUUGGUUUUUUCAAAAUCGAAUGUAGAUCCUUGUGUCUACUAUAAAUAUGAAAAUGAACAUGUUAUGUUUAUAACUAUAUAUGACAUUUUGUUGUUUCACAACUGUCAUGAGUCAGCAAACAAUAUAAAAAUAAAAAUGAAGAAUAAUUUCAAAAUGAAUGAGCUUGAAAUUGCUUAUUGUUAUAUUGGACUUUGUAUUUCAUACAUUUCAGAAGGAAUAGCCAUUGAUCAAACUAGGUACAUAGAAAAUACAUUAAGACGUUUUGGUAUGGAACAAUGUAACUCAGUAGGAACUCCAAUGGAACCGAAUAUCAAGUUUUCAAGUUCUGAAAAAUUUGAAAGUAUACCUUACCAGGAAGCCACUGGCUGCUUAUUAUACAUCUCACAAGGAACUAGGCCAGAUAUAUGCUAUGCAGUGCAUACAUUAUGUCGAUAUAAUAGUUCUCAUACAGAAGAGCAUUGGAAUGCUGUUAAGAGGUUAUUUCGAUACUUACAAGGGUGCAGCGAUAUCUUGGAAUUCAAAAAGGCAGCAAACUGUUGCCUUGUCUACUACUGAGGCAGAGUAUAUGGCGCUCUCAGCUGCUACUCAAGAAGCUAUGUGGCUGAGACAGUUGCACUGUGAACUGUGGCCUUCUUUAAAGGUUACACCUAUUACUUUGUACUGUGAUAAUCAAAGUGCUAUUAAACUUACAGGUACUUACAGUUAUCAUGCUAGGAGUAAACACAUUGAUGUUCGUCACCACUAUCUGAGGAACAAAGUUGAAUGUGGUGAUGUCAAGAUUGAAUAUGUGGGCACUGAUUCGAUUGUUGCUGACUACCUCACCAAAGCCCUACCGAAGCCCAAACACCAGCACUUCCUCAUCGCUAUGGGUUUGCGUUCAAGGGAGGAUGUUAAACUGAACGCAACCACUUAAUAUUAUGUAGUCUGUAUCUGUCAAUGUAAUCUGUAUCUGUCAAUGUAGUCUGUUAUAAUAAUUGUAUCGCCCCUGUCUGUUCCAAGAAAUUGAGCGGUUCGCACCAUUGUCUAA